UUAAUGAUUGAUAUCAUACUUGGACCGCAACAUGGACGAGUUGACAGGGCCUCUGGUGGACGCGGGCCGGCCGGAGCCGGCGGCGGGGGGUACCCGCGGGUCCACCGAAGCAACAGAGGUUGAUACACAUGGGUGGGAGGUUCGGGCCUUGCGACCCUCACUCGGUAAUGAUCCUUCCGCAGGUUCACCUAGAGAAUAUGGUUAGCAAUCGAUCGUCGUGGGUCGAGACGGGAGGCUUCGUGUACUCACCUACGGAAA
rnacentral:misc_RNA from 1 species